CUACGGGUCGCACCAGUGAGGAAUAUUGCACAAUGGGGGGAACCCUGAUGCAGCAACGCCGCGUGGAGGAUGACGCAUUUCGGUGUGUAAACUCCUUUUAUAUGUCAAGAAAAUGACGGUAGCAUAUGAAUAAGCACCGGCUAACUCCGUGCCAGCAGCCGCGGUAAUACGGAGGGUGCAAGCGUUACUCGGGAUCACUGGGCGUAAAGGACGCGUAGGCGGGUUGGAAAGUCAGGUGUGAAAUCCUACAGCUUAACUGUAGAACUGCACUUGAAACUUCUAAUCUAGAGUAUGGGAGGGGGAGAUGGAAUUAGUGGUGUAGGGGUAAAAUCCGUAGAUAUCACUAGGAAUACCUAAAGCGAAGGCGAUCUCCUGGAACAUUACUGACGCUAAGGCGUGAAAGCGUGGGGAGCAAACAGGAUUAGAUACCCUUGUAGUC
rnacentral:rRNA from 1 species